rnacentral:lncRNA from 1 species
GCGUCAUGGCGGAGAGGCGACAGAAGAUCAGCAGCGGCAAGAUGGGCGCGGCGCUCUUUGGUGCGCGGUGCACGAUGCGGUAUGAGAUGGACCUGCAGUUCUUCAACGUCAGUGGCAACAGCAAGAUGGUGUCCCUACGUAAGUUCCUGCCUAAGCAUGUCCGGUAUUCAGCAUGAAAAUCUGAAAGAAGUAAAUGUUUUUUUCCCCUAUUAUUAUGCAUUACAAACCUGGGUCGUCAUGCUUGCAUGUUACCAAGAUGAGUUGUUUCUGAAACCUCCAAGAAUUCAGCUGGCUCCCCGAAGUAGAGUAAAUCAAUCUGGAGUGCAUAUCGGCACCCCGAAAAUUCUUCAGAAGUUGUUAAACCCCAUCACUGAUGAUUUCGUGUAUCAUGUUCAGGGAAGAAGAAAAACCGUGCGUUCAUCAUCAUUGCAACAGCUUACUCUUCGGCAGUCCUCUGUACACGCUUGUUUUUCUGGCUGCUAAGCGUCCGGAGGAAACAGAAAAGUAAGCUUAGUAUAGUAUUUUUAUAGCCAAAAAGGAAGAAAAGAGAAAACUCUAUUCUAAUUUCAUGUAAAACUAAUGGAGAGAUGCACAUUUAGGGAAAAUGAACUUGAUGGAGGAGCCCGAGAAUAUGAAUGAAAUUCUGAGACAAUGGAGGAUUGAAGAUGCUAGUUUGGAGUUCUCAAUGUAUGAUUUCUCUCAGAUUGCUGAUGCUACAGACAACUUCUCACCCAGAAAUAUACUAGGAGAGGGUGGAUUUGGCCCAGUUUACAAGGUAUUUCCUUGCUAUAAUGCUAUUAGUAUGUCAUGCAUCAAUAUAUUAAAAAGCUCCGUAUAUGAUGAAUUUUGCAGGGAGUAUUUCCUGAUGGACAAGAGGUAGCAAUAAAAAGACUGUCUGCUCGGUCACGACAAGGUCUAAUAGAGUUCAAGAAUGAGAUCCAGAUUAUAGCAAAAGUUCAGCACAAAAACCUUGUUAGACUGCUUGGUUGUUGCAUUCAUGAAGAAGAGAAGAUGUUGAUUUACGAAUAUCUGACGAACAAAAGCUUGGACCACUUCAUUUUUGGCAUGCCCUUACUAUAAAAUGCUCAUUAUUUCAUAAUUGCAUUUGUUCUCAUAUGCAGAACUGACACCUGGUCUUGUGUUACAUUGCUUGUAGAUCCAAUCAGACAGGCAUCACUUAAAUGGAAGAGACGGAUUAAAAUAGUUGAUGGUAUAGCCUAGGGACUCCUGUACCUUCACAAUUUCUCACGAAUACGCAUCAUCCAUAGGGACUUGAAAGCAAGUAAUAUCCUGUUAGAUUCAGAUCUAAACCCUAAGAUUUCUGAUUUUGGGAUGGCAAGGAUAUUUCCAUCGGAUGCCACUCAAGCAACAGCCAGCAGACUUGUGGGCACAUAGUAAGUGUAUUAUUAUACUAGUUCUGUUACUUGCUAAUAUUUCUAUCAAAGCAUUUGCAUUCUGACUACCCACAUUCUCUCCUUCUCUAGUGGAUACAUGGCUCCUGAAUAUGUAUCUGAUGGUCUUCUCUCGAUCAAGUCAGAUGUUUUCAGUUUCGGGGUCCUGCUUCUUGAGAUUAUAAGUGGAAAGAGGAGCUCAGGUUUUCAGCACAAUGGAGAGUUUUACAACCUUCUUGAAUACGUAAGCAACUAAGGACUAACAAUCUGUAAAACUGGUGGAACAGAUAUGCUUUCCCUUAUAACAAGAUUGCAUUGUACUAACAGAUCAGUUACUAUUAAUGGUGUAUUUUUAUGGUCUUCUACAUUAUUUCUUCCACGAAGUAUAGGGCUCAAAGUACAGGGCGGUUUCCUUUACCUCCUCCCUGUUUCAUUGCUAUUUUCUAGCAUUUGUAGCUACAUCUAACAGCUAAAGAUAUACCAUCAUACACAUGUAAAAUAUUCAUUUUUCUUUUCAGGCCUGGGAACUGUGGAAAGAUGGGAGAUGGAAUGAGUUCAUUGAUCAAUCAUUUGGUGAUGACUAUGAAAUGGAAGAGCUGAUGAAAUACCUUGCUGUGGCAUUGCUGUGUGUUCAAGAAAAAACAAUUGAUCGUCCUACAAUGCCUGAUGUUGUUGCAAUUCUUAGCAGUGAUGACAUCACUUUGCCAGAACCAAAGCAGCCAGCUUACUCCUAUGCGAAAUUAGAUGUGUCAGUAAAUGUCGCUGUAUUGAGUAGCAGAAAUGAUGUCACCAUCUCUACUACAAAUGGCAGAUAAUAGAAUAUGAGUAUACUGUUAAUAAAGUCAGAGCUACAGGUCUUGGUCAUCCUUCUUGUGUUAAUUAAUUGCAAGGCACUGCGUUCUGCUGUUUCUCACCAGUAAACCUGUCAGCUGCUUUGACCAUUGGUUUUACAUAUUUAACAAGAUUUUCCUUAUUAUUCUAUAUAAACUGAGACAGCAUUAAUUUAUCUUUCAGUCCCAAACUGCCUACCACUGGGCGCUGGCACAUAAGCCAUGUUCUGGUCUCAUGAUGAAUCACAUUCCCCCAAUAAUAGACAGAUAUCAUUUGUUUGGACAUAUCAUAAAUCUAUUCCUGGCUGUUUUUAGUCUUUCUUUAUUUUUUCACAGUCAAGACAUCAGCAUAAGAAUUUAGAAGACGUAAAUACGUAAUCAAGAAGUACAACAGUACCUGGAAUGUAGACAAGUCCACUGCCCACAAGAGAACGAAGUAAACUUCACAUCACGUGGAAUAGUCCACAAGAGGCAGCUCUCUAGACCAGUCUUCUGUGGAAAAUAUGGCCAUGGCACCAUCUUUCAAUUUCUGUUGUAAAGAAAGAGUCUGAAUGGAACCUAAGCUUGACCAUUGAAUUCCUUUGCCUUUUCGAAGACGGAGCAAAUAUGACAUCUGGCACUCAUCUGUGACCAAAGGCCAUGGCGCUCUAGUUACCAGUCAUUAUGAAACUGUUACCUCUCCUAUUUCUCUUCCUCUCAUGCCCAGCAUCAUUGGCUGGCCAGACGUUCUGCAGUGAUCAUAAUGGUGCCAGGUACACGCCAAACAACACAAUCUAACCUCCCUCACUAAAACACAAUUUGCCCAUGCAAUAAAGGUGCACUCAGCUACAGGAAUGGUGUUGUUAAUUGGCUAGCUCUUGCUGUUUUGCCUUCCAUGCGUUAUGACUUAUGAGCAGAUGGUGCUAUGUUCUUUUGGCCAUGCCUCCCUUGUCUAGUGACAGGAGCAUGCUUGUAUGGCCUAGCAGUAGCAGUAGAUGGUAUGGCAAGUAUGGCCUUGCAACAGUAGUAUUCUCUCUUCUUCUAUGUGAGUUGAGGAUCAUCAAGGCAUGGGAGCUGGCCAAGAAUUGGCAUCAAAGCCCAAGGUUGGGAGAUCGAUAGCGAUCUCAGGCUUAGGGUAGCCAUUCUUUCCCCCUGGAUCGGUACGGACACCAACCAUCCAGACUCCCUGUCACUAGAGUGUCAUCCGCUCGUGGUGCAGAAGAUGGUGAGGUUGGAGGCGCAACCUAAGUUCUCACAUGUACCAGCUACAGCGAUUGAGUGGUGUUAAUGAAGGUCAUGCUCCAGGCUCAGGAGCUGUGUCGUGCAGUGGAUCUUAGCGCUUGGGAGCAAGGCCAUUGCAAAGUUGGCCUGGGAUAGCCUCAAGUCAAUGUGCAUCGGCUCCAACUGUGUGAGGAAGGCAAAGGGCGUAGCAACACCAACAGGAGUACGAGUCCAUCGCUUUCCUUGACGGCAAAGUACACACAAGUGUGUCUGUGUCAAACAAUUCUCAGCCGACCACGGCAAGCUAAGACGCUAGACGCCUCCUUGCAAGAAAUCUCUGUGCGCCCAGAUGAACCUACCGGGGACGACAUUAGGACGCGAUCACAACAGAUGGCGCACCAUGGCUUAGUCCAUGGCCUCCCGCUGAUCAUUCCAUGUGGUCAACUUCAUGAUCUAUUUGAGGUAGAGAGGUGAGGAGAUUCAUUUUUUGGGUUCCAUCUAGGGCUGGACAACAAGCUCGCUGAGCUAGUUCGAUGGUUCGUUUAGAAAAAUGCUCUACCCGCACUCAUUUUUCUUUCAAAAUCAAAGUUAGAUGGUUUUGAAAGAAUUUCAACUUUGGCUUGGCUCGUUAAGCUCAGAUUGAAGUGGGUCUCAAACAACACAAUAGACUAUAAUAAAUAAGAAUAUAUCAAUUUCGAAUAAAUCUCAAAGAGAAGUCCACUUGGCUUUGUUAUCCACCCCUAUUCCAACGGCUUGUGAAAGAAUGCAUUGGCAAAUAACGACCAAAUCUAGUGUACUAGCUAAACGCAGCAUUAGGACUGCUUUAAGCACUGUGCAAACUUGCAUAAAGGCGUAUGCGGGCAACCAAACAAGGGUAAGCUGCACUACACAAAUCUGAAUACAGACUAAUGCAAGCCAGUGUAAGGGUACGCAACCAUAGGAGCAGCUCUUGGAGCGCCAAAGCACCAGCCAUACACCAGAUGCUAAAACUUGUCUUUCAGUUAACAUAAAUUGUUUCAACAAAUGCAUAAAUAGAACUUUUCUCAAACUACAACUUAUUGAUCCCUGUGCAUGGAUUUACAGGUAACACAACUGAUGUCUUUGUGGGAAUUGGAGUUUUCGUAGUGGUAAUAUCUAUUUCUUGCUUGGUUAUCCAUGUAUGGAUCAAAACACAGCAACAGAGAGGUCUGUACUAAUAUGACAACAGAUCAAAAUGUGUGCCAUGAACUAGUAUUUUCUUAUAUGUAUCAUUUCAAUAUUAUUUUUCAGAACAAGCAAUAUUAAAGUUACGACGAAUGUCUUUGGCAAUACAAAGUGUGAUAAACCUAUGGAGGAUGGAUGGUGGCAACUUGGGAUUUUCACAGUUUGAUUACUCUCAUUUGAAAGAAGCUACAAAUAACUUUUCGGUUGAUAAUAAACUGGGAGAAGGUGGCUUCGGUCCUGUAUACAAGGUAUUAUGUCCUUACACCACAAAUGAAGUCCUGAAGUGAACUAAACAUUACGUUGUUCAUACAAAUAUAAUGCCUUCUCUAUAUUAUUGUAGAGAUACAUUCUGCAAUGAUGCAUAUUUAGUUAAUAUUUUUUGUGAUUAAAUAAAACACAUAUAAAUUUCCAGGAAAACAAGUUACUGAAAACAGUAACUGUUUGUUUUAUUUUGACCAAUCGCAGGGCCAAUUGAGAAGUGGAAUGAAAAUAGCAGUGAAGAAGCUAGAAGCAUGUUCUUUACAAGGAUUGUUGGAAUUCCAAAAUGAAAUUCAGCUUAUAGCAAAGCUUCAACACAAAAAUCUCGUUAAGCUGCUGGGUUGUUGCACUAGAGGAGAUCAAGAAGAGAUGCUUAUAUAUGAAUACAUGGAAAAUAAAAGUCUGGAUUACUUCAUAUUUGGCAAGGCGCAUCUCUUCUACAUAUGUAAUGUUGCUUACAGUAUGUCAAUAGUUUUGAUUAAUUUAAUUAUACAUCUUUUGCAGAUAAUGUGAAGGGAACACACCUGAACUGGUCAAAGCGUCUUCACAUAAUUGAUGGGAUAGCUCAAGGGAUUCUUUACCUUCACAAUUAUUCAUGGCUAUGUGUUGUUCAUAGGGAUUUGAAAGCAAGUAACAUUCUCUUGGAUAGUGAAAUGAAUCCAAAAAUAUCAGAUUUUGGGAUGGCCAGAAUAUUCUGUUCAAAUGUGAAAGAAUCAAAUACUACCAGAAUAGUGGGCACACAGUAAGAACAUAUGGAUCUGUGCAGUUUGAGUACAUUUAAAAUUCAUAGAGGUGCUUUUUAGGACCAAAAAAGGAACACUGUAGCAUGUCAUCAACUUAAUUUUAAAAAUACACCUUUUUGCAUUACACUGACACUAUUUAACUUCCAUCCUCAGUGGCUACAUACCUCCUGAAUAUGCUUUUCAUGGGAUUUGCUCCAUCAAAUCAGAUGUUUUUAGCUAUGGGGUAUUGACAUUGGAAAUUUUAAGCUCAAAAAGGACAGCCCAAUUCUACAAGUACAAUGGAAAGCUAUAUAAUCUCAUCUCAUAUGUGAGUAUAAUUAACCUUAACAAAUCCAGAACUUUAUCUGUGCAUGCCCAUAGAUGCAUACCCCUAUCUUGCUUGUUUCACAAAAACAUGUUACUUUGGCAGGCUUGGCAACUUUGGACCGAAGGAAAAGUAGGUGAGCUGAUUUAUUCUCCUCCAGGCAAUGUACACAAAGAGAUUGAAAGGCGCAUUCAUGUGGCACUCUUAUGUGUUCAAGAAAGCGCAGAGCAUCGACCUGAUAUGGAGCGAGUUGUCACAAUGCUAAACAAUAAGGAUGUGAGCUUACCAAAGCCUACGCAGCCAGCUUACUUCCAUGUAAAUCCUAGUGAGGAAGAAGUUUCAUCACAGAGUGUUACUAUGACUAUGAGUAUCACGCUAGAAAGGUAGAAACACAUUGCCAUCAUUUCUGAGAAAAAAAUGCUUGUAAUUAUCUGCAUCAGGAGGAAAAUAUUUGCACCAACUUAGUGAUACGAGUAAGUUUGAUUGUUAUGUAUAUUUAUGAACACAACAUACAUUUUCACAAUUUUGCUUGGAUACGCAAAACACUUCUUGGGCUGAACCUGAACCUUUGAAAUUUCAACCUCGUGCCUUAAACAACAAAAUAGGGUGUCUGAUCCUAAAACAAAGGCAUUUUGAAAACCACAGUAGCAGCAGUUGCAACACAGUUUCAAAUAAAAACAGAAACACUACUCUGUGGUACAUGACAUUGAGGUCCACUUGAAUGGAUCAGAUAAAUUCAUGAGCACGGACACAUAAUGGGGGUACAGUAACCGCUACCGUAGGGUGCUCUCAACUCAUAACUUCGGCAGCAUAUGGCACUCCCCAUGAGGUCAAUUCCUAUAAUCCCUAACUCAAAUCGAAAGCAAAAGCGAAAAGAGGGGACUCGUAGGGCCGAACCUCGGUUCAUUUGGCGCAAUGUCUGUGUCACCACCCGCGCGAGCCUGAACCCGGAGAAGGUCGCGGCGGUAGUCCGCCGCCGUACCCGUCGCAGGCAGGGUGCGUCCCUCCCCGGCGACCGGCGCAAGGGUGCUCGCCGUCGCUGUUCGUCGCCAGUUCCACUUCGAGCCUGUCGUCGCCACUCACCAGUCCCAUUCAGGCCCGCCUGGGCCGUGGGCUAAUCGAGUUGAACCAAACGCAACAAGGGCCCAGUAUGUUCUCUUGUGGGUCUUGAUUGGGCUACCCCGUAUUUUUUAGGGCAUGUAUAAUAUCAUUCCUUUUGCUAAAAGAAAACGUAU